UUAAAAGCAUUAUAUAUUGAGAAGUCCACUUAUGAAUUCUCAGUGAUGUAGAGCAUAGGUCAAGUUAUUUUCUUUUGUAGUAGGACCCACAGCUUGAUGUAUAUCUGCUAAAAAAAUUACAUCUAACUUUAGCUUUAUUAAAAUCCACCAUUAUCUGCUUGCAUAGUACCUCAACUAUUUUAAAAGGUAUCAUACAACAUUAUUUCUAUGCCUAAGGAAAUAUAAAUGAAUAUAUUUUUAGAUUCACCUAGUAAUUACCUAACUAUUUUCUUAAGAUGACACAUAACCUUUGGGACACUGUUUAGAUAAUGAGUAUUAAAAUAUCCAGCAGUUAUGUACCAGUGUAGAUCUUUAUGAAAAAAUAAAAAGAACUUUUCCCCAUUUUAUUCUGUCUCUUCUCUUGGUCUUUACUAGCUUUGUCUUAGAUUCAGAAGAUUUAUAAAUCAAGAAAAAAAAUCAGAAAAAAAGGGUUCAGUGGCUUAUUUUUAAAUCCAUUUUCAGUUUUAAAUGAUGGAAAUUUAAAUCAAACUGGUACUCGCUGAGGAAGGUAUUUGUUGGCAUAGAUGUGUACCUACGUAUGAAUAAAGCUGACUUCCAGUGUCCAGAGGCUCUGAUUAGAAUCUCUCUCCCAUUCCGUAGACAGCCUAACAUGAUGUUGCCUUCAGUCUCGGGUCUUCAGAGGUCUCUUAGCCUACUGACCGCCAGGGAAAUAGCCUGCUUCCUUUUUCCAGUGGUGCCAGCAAAAGUCCUGAAACAGCCCUUGUAUCUGGCUAUGAUUAGUCUGUGUGACUCACCUGUCUGUCCUGAGAAUCAGGUGCUCACCUUAGCCUGGCCCAGGAUCACAUCCCCAGAAUGUGGCAAUUGCUUGAAGGACAGCAAAUGCUGCUGUUCCAGAAGUAUGUGGCCUGGUUGAUAAGCAGAUGCUAGGGUAGGUGUCUGUUAGAGCAGCUCGUGGCAUGACAAGGAAUUGUGGUGAGUUGUUUGGAAGAUCAUUUUCUUUAUCCUCCCUUUGAGUUCACUGUUGACACAGAACCUCUAAUUAGUUGCCUUGGUGUCUCUAGUCCAUCGUCUGGGUCUCUUUGACUGUCGUCAUUCCAGUUCCUGCUCACCUUUUCUGUGAGAAGUACCCCCUGGGAAGUGGUUGACAGCUCCAGCCUCUCUCCUAUCUGCCAGAGAGACUAAUAUCCUUCAGCCUCCUCUUCUCCCUGGUUCCAGAAGAACAAUGAGACACUGAUGCUGCUGUCUCAGGUAGAGCAGUACCCAUGGUGACACCUGAGAUUCUCUGGGAGCGCCCAGGCUGGCAGGGACCUGUGGCCUCCUCAAGUGCUCCUUGCUCACAGCAGCAGCUCGCGUCUGGCACAGCCUCCCUCACAGUCUACCCUGUGAGACACUUACAGUCAGCUCUGCUUUGGGUGCUUGUAGUGUUGCCAGAGAAGAAGUGUAACUCCCAGCCUGCUAGCUUCAGCUGUGCAGAGUUUGUGUCCCCUGAAAUUGAAAAAUGAAUUCCACAGGAUAGAGGAGGUUAAGCAUAUGAAAGAUUUAUUGGAGAUUAAGGAAUGGCUGCUCAGGAGGGGUCCUGAGUGGGUUGCCACCAAGAACAUUUAUCGGGUAAUUUAUACAGUAAAGUCACAGUGUGGGUAUAGCAUAGGCUGAACUAUAAUCAGCCAAUAAGAUGGUAGUGAGUUAUGUAGCUAAUUUGAUCCAGUAGUAAAGAGGGAUACAUAGCAAGGGCCUAUGGCUGACUUCAUCCACCUUGGCUUAUCUGUAGCUUCUAAAAUGAGAACAUUCUUGGGAAAGGAUGGGUUACCCUCUUAGGUGUCUUUUGUGUCUACCAUGAGAGCUUUCUAAAUUCCUGAGGGGAAAAAUGAUAAGAUGAUGAAGAAAUUAAGACAGAGACAGAAAGCUGGGGUCAGGUGAAGCCCUUCCUCUGGAUGGGGAGACUGCUCAACUACCACAUUGCGUUUAUUUAUACACUUGUCAUACCAUGUCCCUUCGCUUAACUAGCUCACUUCUCAGCCCUUUGUUCACCUCUAGCACUCUAUGCCCUAAGGGCAUUUCUCAGGUGCUUCAUGUCCUUGGCACACUCCUGUUCUGGCCCUUGUGCUUUUGGCUCCACAAAUGUGAACGAUCACCAACUCAGGAGCUCCCAGCAGUGUCUAAUGCACAUCUAGACUUAAUGGACUUGGUGGUAAUAAUUACUGUACAGUUCUUCUCCUCCCAUAAGGAAGCACACAAGUCAGGCCAUUGAGACUGUGUUUUGCGGCUUGGUCUUCUUCAGAUGCAGUUCCAACCACAGCUCUGAUAUCUUUGAUUUCCAUUGACUUUCUUGAGAGCCUCGCCUCUCUCUGACUGUACAUUAAUUUCUCUCCAACUUAGCUGCUUGUGAUACUGUUAGAAUUACAUUGAAAAGGGUCAGCAACUUCUCAGAAGUUGGAUCUGCAUUCUUGGGCUUUCCUUGCCUUAGGGUGGCCAUCUUCACUUGAAGAAGUUCAGGGUCCUGAAUGCCCUCAGAUGAUCUGCCCUCCCCACCUGCUUUUCAGAUCAGCAUUACAUGCAUACAUCUACUUUGAAUUCCAGAGAGAAUAACAUACUUCAUUUCUCCCAUUGUUUGUGUUUCUUUACACAGUUAGUUUCUCUGGUGAUUUGUUUUUCCUUACACACUCACCCACCCCUGAACCCAAUGGCCCUAGUGACUGCCUCCAGCUGUGAACGUUGUAUCUUAAAUAACAUUACAGUUUCUAGGAUUGCUGGAUCUUUAUUGUAGGAAGCAAGGCAUCUGAGGAUUCUGUCUGUGCCUUUCUGUCCUUUACCUGUAUGUUGCUAAGGUUUUAGUCUAACAACUAUCUGAGCUCUUGGUGUGCUGUUUUAGCAUGCACCUUUUGAUGCCAUGGUCAUGGUGAACAUCGCCCAUUACGUGGAUGAGAGGAUUAUAGAGACUGAAGGAAGAUGGAUGGGUUCAGAAAAAGUACGGGAUAUACCACUUCCAGAGGAGCUCCUGUUCACUGUGGAUGAGAAGAUAUUAAAUGACAUCAAGCAAGCUAAAGCCCAGUUUCUUCAAGAGAAAAGAAUUUACGGGAGGAAGGGAAGAUAAAGAAAACAAUCACAAUUGAAAAAAGAAAUUGUGGAGAAAUAGAAGAGUGACAUUGACGUGACCAGUCUCACCAAUAUGUACAGCGAGUCAAAAAUCCACCCUCAACAAUCUUAGAGAAAAUACUUGUAUAAGGAAGCUAGUGUUGCUAAAGGUGUUACUCAAAUUACUGAGUCAUGAUCAAAGUGUUAGAUUAGGUAGAAAGACUAUGAUAAGUGUGAUAAAAAGAGAUGAUGGCAGGUUAUAGCCUGUCUGAGACUAUAAUUUGAAAAAGCUGAGCUAUGAAUGCAGAUGUUGUAAAGGACAGUCCAUCAGUGAGUGAUAAUGGUAAAACAUUUUGUGCCAGUAAGAGAAGUUUCGUAAUGUUAAAGCAAGAAUUAGGAUGCAGCAGCCAGUGCUGGUGAAAGGGUUGCUGAAAAUAACAUACAUGAUUUCAAAAUGAUGACACAGAGAAAUUGCUUUUG